CUCUAGCAGACACACAGACACACCAGUGGCAAAGGGAAGGCACAAAACCUACGCUGUGCACGGGCUGGAGAAGACCUAUCCUUUUCCAGCUCUUUACCUGCAUGGAUAGGCAGAGGAGAGCCACGGUUGGCAUCAAGGUGAACAAGGCUGGACAUCUGCCG